rnacentral:tRNA from 1 species
GCGUCGGUAGUUCAGUGGUAGAAUACUCGCCUGCCACGCGGGUGACCCGGGUUCGAUUCCCGGCUGACGCA